rnacentral:rRNA from 1 species
AUGUAUAUCAUGGGAUUCUAUAGUCUGCAUGAAUCCCUUCACCACGAGGUCACCAAACUCCUCUCCAGAUUCUUCUGGGCUGGAGAGAAUAAUAAACAGAAGUACCACAUGGUGAAGUGGUCUGAGAUCAGUAAGCCUAAAGACCAAGGAGGCCUUGGGGUUAUUUCGUCCAAGCGGAUGAAUAUUUCCCUCCUCUCCAAAUGGCUUUGGCGGAUUCAGACUGCUGAGGGCGGCCUGUGGCUUGAGAUUAUCUGCGCGAAGUACCUUCGCGGGCAGCCACUAGCAUUCGCGCAUAGAACUGGUGGGUCCCAAUUCUGGCAAUCGGUGAUUCGUCUAAUGCCGGUAUUGCGUGUUGGGACCUCCAUUAAAAUAGGUACCGGUUUCGGGACCCUGUUCUGGCUAGAUCGAUGGGCAGGGACCCGCCCCUUUGCGGAGCGCUUUUCUGCGUUGUUUGCGAUCUGCGUCCGCCCACAGCUCUCUGUGGCUGUGGCCUUAGCUGACUUGGGUGCUAUUGCCUUUCGCCGUACCUUCGGGGCGGUGGAACUUGAGCAAUGGGAUGAAUUGCUCGAGUGUAUUGCCCUACGCACCCCUCCCUGGAACCCGACUCAAUAUCUUGGCACCUCGAGUCAAGUGGCCGAUUCUCGACUAGAUCCCUUUAUCAGGCGAUUGUCCCCACCCCUGGCCCAGUGGAACUCUCGGUGCUCUGGGAGAUCAAACCUCCCUUGA